AACGAACGCUGGCGGCAUGCCUAACACAUGCAAGUCGAACGAGACCUUCGGGUCUAGUGGCGCACGGGUGCGUAACGCGUGGGAACCUGCCCUUAGGUUCGGAAUAACUCCCCGAAAGGGGUGCUAAUACCGGAUAAUGUCUUCGGACCAAAGAUUUAUCGCCUUUGGAUGGGCCCGCGUUGGAUUAGCUCGUUGGUAGGGUAAAAGCCUACCAAGGCGACGAUCCAUAGCUGGUCUGAGAGGAUGAUCAGCCACACUGGGACUGAGACACGGCCCAGACUCCUACGGGAGGCAGCAGUGGGGAAUAUUGGACAAUGGGCGAAAGCCUGAUCCAGCAAUGCCGCGUGAGUGAUGAAGGCCUUAGGGUUGUAAAGCUCAUUUACCCGGGAUGAUAAUGACAGUACCGGGAGAAUAAGCUCCGGCUAACUCCGUG
rnacentral:rRNA from 1 species